GGGCGGAUGGUUUAGGGGUAUAAUACUCCCUUCGCAUAUCUGAAAUUCAGAAGAGGUGACUGGGAGGGGUCCGGGGUUCGAUUCCCCGUUCGUCCA